CAGUGGGAUACCUGUGAGCAGAGGCCUGGGCUGGAAGGCUUGGGAGGGCAAGCUGGGGCGGGGCUGGCCCUAAAUGGGAGGCCAGGAAGGUGGGCAAAGCAGAAGGGGGCAAGAGUGAUAAGGGAGAGAGAAGAGGCCUGGGCCCUGCUCCGUGUCACCUUCCAUCCUCCCCACAGUCCUCCGGGAGGAUUUCCAGAUCCAGCCUCGGGACAUGGUGGCUGUGGUGGGUGAGCAGUUUACUCUGGAAUGUGGGCCGCCCUGGGGCCACCCAGAGCCCACAGUCUCAUGGUGGAAAGAUGGGAAACCCCUGGCCCUCCAGCCCGGAAGGCACACAGUGUCCGGGGGGUCCCUGCUGAUGGCAAGAGCAGAGAAGAGUGACGAAGGGACCUACAUGUGUGUGGCCACCAACAGCGCAGGACAUAGGGAGAGCCGCGCAGCCCGGGUUUCCAUCCAGGAGCCCCAGGACUACACGGAGCCUGUGGAGCUUCUGGCUGUGCGAAUUCAGCUGGAAAAUGUGACACUGCUGAACCCGGAUCCUGCAGAGGGCCCCAAGCCUAGACCGGCGGUGUGGCUCAGC
rnacentral:lncRNA from 1 species